rnacentral:rRNA from 1 species
UACGGAGGGUGCAAGCGUUAUCCGGAUUCACUGGGUUUAAAGGGUGCGUAGGCGGCUUGCCAAGUCAGUGGUGAAAGCCCGCGGCUUAACCGUGGAAUUGCCAUUGAAACUGGCUGGCUCGAGUGUGAUUGAAGUGGAUGGAAUACAUCAUGUAGCGGUGAAAUGCUUAGAGAUGAUGUAGAACACCAAUUGCGAAGGCAGUUCACUAAGUCACAACUGACGCUGAGGCACAAAAGCGUGGGGAUCAAACAGG